rnacentral:rRNA from 1 species
GUAGAGAUGCGGAGGAACACCGAUGGCGAAGGCAGCCUCCUGGGAUGACACUGACGCUCAUGCACGAAAGCGUGGGUAGCAAACAGGAUUAGAUACCCUGGUAGUCCACGCCCUAAACGAUGUCAACUGGUUGUUGGGGGAGUGAAAUCCCUUAGUAACGAAGCUAACGCGUGAAGUUGACCGCCUGGGGAGUACGGUCGCAAGAUUAAAACUCAAAGGAAUUGACGGGGACCCGCACAAGCGGUGGAUGAUGUGGAUUAAUUCGAUGCAACGCGAAAAACCUUACCUACCCUUGACAUGUCCGGAAUCCUGCUGAGAGGUGGGAGUGCCCGAAAGGGAAUCGGAACACAGGUGCUGCAUGGCUGUCGUCAGCUCGUGUCGUGAGAUGUUGGGUUAAGUCCCGCAACGAGCGCAACCCUUAUCAUUAGUUGCUACGCAAGGGCACUCUAAUGAGACUGCCGGUGACAAACCGGAGGAAGGUGGGGAUGACGUCAAGUCCUCAUGGCCCUUAUGGGUAGGGCUUCACACGUCAUACAAUGGUCGGUACAGAGGGUUGCCAAGCCGCGAGGCGGAGCCAAUCCCAGAAAGCCGAUCGUAGUCCGGAUUGUUCUCUGCAACUCGAGAGCAUGAAGUCGGAAUCGCUAGUAAUCGCGGAUCAGCAUGUCGCGGUGAAUACGUUCCCGGGUCUUGUACACACCGCCCGUCACACCAUGGGAGUGGAAUCUGGCAGAAGUAGGUAGCCUAACCGCAAGG